UUUUGUGGAGAUGCAGAUUGGGUUCAUCAAAGAUGAGAAUCAUAUAUAUAGGGUUUAUAUAGGGGCUACAAAUCAGGAACAUUUAUGAUCAACCGAUUUAAGAUGUGGACAUGAAGAGUUCACCGGUGAAAAAAUAGAUUACGAACAGACACAUGGCGCAAUCUGUAACUCAAACUUGUUUGAGACACUGAUGAAAAGAACCCAAACUCAUGUUAAACAACAACAGUUUACAAUAUGAAAAAAACUAUAAUUGUUGCAAACUUGAGUUUUUUUUUUUCAUAUAACGUGAUGAAUCUCAUUUAAAAAUGAAACCCAUAACACACUUGUAGGCCCGACCCUCAGAGGAAGCUGAAGAAGCAAGAGCUUCCGACCUUCAUAAAUAUAUAUUAGGUUCGACCAUCAAUGUACAAAGUAUCAUUUAGCUUAGUGGUAUAAAUGUUGGUGUUUAUAUCUCAAUAAACCGGAUUCGAGCUAUAAUCUUGACAUUUUUUCACACUUUUUAAAAGUAAGUCCUACAAAACGCUGACGUGACGCGAUGAGUAGUGAGCAAAAACUCAUCUAUUAUAAUAUAGAUCGUGUGUUUUGUUGUUUUGGUUUUAUUUUCUCGUGAACGACCUAAUUCUAAACAAAGAGCCGCUUCACAAUUUUUUAGGCUUGGCUGCACUUUUUCUUUUCUCUUUCCACUCUCUCCUUCUUACGGGUCACGACGAACUCGAACUUAUAAAGGAAUUAUUCAUCCCUUGAACCUAGAUCCGUUACUGAGAUAGAGAUUGUCACUGGUGGCGGUGAUGUCUGCGACGGCAACGGCAAAGAUGGAGGAGGAUGUAAUGGUGGUAGCGACGACGGUGGUCGUCGAGAAUGUGAUGUUGGUGUCGGUGGGUUAGUGGUCGUGGUGGUGGUUGUCGCGGGGGAGAAUGUGGUGACGGCGGAGGAUUAAUUCCACUUUCGUGUUGAACUUUAAGUGGUUUUUUGUUUUUUGUUUUUUUUGUUUUUGGUUUAUUUUAUAAUUUUAAAUAGUUAAUUUUACUAAUUUCGUAGACAUUCUGAUCCCAUAGAUGUGGUUAUGUUCUACGUAUUCUUUCCACUCUACUUGAGAUCAUAAUCACAUCUUCUUCCAAUUCUUUUCAUUACACUCCCAUCAGAUUCUCUUCUAACCUUUAUGUCCUUUAAACAGUCGUCGUGAUGACGUUGCAAGACAAGAUUCUUGUUUUUUUU